UGCAUACCCCUUAGAUCCACUUUCUCAUUGAAAGUGCUUGAGUCAUAGGUAUGCAAAAGCAUUAUACCUCCGUGAUCAGUAAUCUGCUUGUGUACUUUUUCACUAGCAUCACUGAUCCUGGGGACGAU